rnacentral:tRNA from 1 species
GUUAAGAGUGGCUUAACACUAAAGCGGGGCACUGAAGCUGCCCAAAUGGUUUUUACAAACCCCUUGACA